CAUGCAAGUCGAGGGGCAGCAUGUUGGUUGCUUGCAACCAAUGAUGGCGACCGGCGCACGGGUGAGUAACGCGUAUCCAACCUACCCUUGUCCAUCGGAUAACCCGUCGAAAGGCGGCCUAACACGAUAUGCGGUUCUCAGCAGGCAUCUAACGAGAACGAAAUGUGAAGGAGAAGGAUGGGGAUGCGUCUGAUUAGCUUGUUGGCGGGGUAACGGCCCACCAAGGCGACGAUCAGUAGGGGUUCUGAGAGGAAGGUCCCCCACAUUGGAACUGAGACACGGUCCAAACUCCUACGGGAGGCAGCAGUGAGGGAUAUUGGUCAAUGGACGAGAGUCUGAACCAGCCAAGUAGCGUGCAGGAAGACGGCCCUAUGGGUUGUAAACUGCUUUUAUAGGGGGAUAAAGUGUGCCACGUGUGGCAUAUUGCAGGUACCCUAUGAAUAAGGACCGGCUAAUUCCGUGCCAGCAGCCGCGGUAAUACGGAAGGUCCAGGCGUUAUCCGGAUUUAUUGGGUUUAAAGGGAGCGUAGGCCGUUUGGUAAGCGUGUUGUGAAAUGUCGGGGCUCAACCUGGGCAUUGCAGCGCGAACUGCCAGACUUGAGUGCGCAGGAAGUAGGCGGAAUUCGUCGUGUAGCGGUGAAAUGCUUAGAUAUGACGAAGAACUCCGAUUGCGAAGGCAGCCUGCUGUAGCGCAACUGACGCUGAAGCUCGAAAGCGUGGGUAUCGAACAGGAUUAGAUACCCUGGUAGUCCACGCGGUAAACGAUGGAUGCUCGCUGUUUGCGUCUGACGUAAGCGGCCAAGCGAAAGCGUUAAGCAUCCCACCUGGGGAGUACGCCG
rnacentral:rRNA from 1 species